CACGUAGGGGGCAAGCGUUGUCCGGAUUUAUUGGCGUAAAGCGCGCGCAGGCGGUCCUUUAAGUCUGAUGUGAAAGCCCACGGCUCAACCGUGGAGGGUCAUUGGAAACUGGGGGACUUGAGUGCAGAAGAGGAAAGCGGAAUUCCACGUGUAGCGGUGAAAUGCGUAGAGAUGUGGAGGAACACCAGUGGCGAAGGCGGCUUUCUGGUCUGUAACUGACGCUGAGGCGCGAAAGCGUGGGGAGCAAACAGG
rnacentral:rRNA from 1 species